AUGCAAGACUACUUGACGGAGAAUCCAACAUAUCCACCGUACCUGUUCCGGAGAAGGUACUGAAUGCGCUGAUCCCUCUUUGUGAAAAUUGUUCAAGCUUGUGAGGCAAAUUGUUGGUAUUUUACUCAAAGAAGAAAUGAUGCGGGCUUAAAGAGAUUUAGUGCAUAUCAAAAAAUCUCUGCAGCUACGCGGGGGAUUGCAUAUGGCGUUCCGGCUGACUAUGUCGAUGAGUACCUUCGCAUUGGUGAAGAUACCAUAAUUGAGUCAGUGCGUAGAUUUGCAAAAGUGAUCAUCCGUAUCUUUGGUCCUUAG
rnacentral:rRNA from 1 species